rnacentral:tRNA from 1 species
GGUCGUCCAGGGCGGCGUGGAGCGCGGUGCGGACGCGCGGGCCGUCGGCCGGCCAGCCGCGGCCCGUUCCGAGGCGGGUGACGACGGC